GGGCCCGUAGCUCAGCUUGGUCAGAGCGGCGGACUUUUAAUCCGUAGGCCGGGGGUUCAAAUCCCCCCGGGCCCG
rnacentral:tRNA from 1 species